GUGACGUCAUCAGGAAGAAGGUUUGUCGGCGAAGAAUUAACGUGACCCCAAGAGAUGCGAGGUCCGCUCGCCGACAAGGAAGGCGUUUGUCAAAGAAAAGGCAGCAUCCUUCCAUGAUGUUGGCCAGCAAAACGACAUCAGUACCCUUGCGGAGCAAAAGAAAAAACAAGACGCCCGAUGCGAAGGUCAUUGAUCUUCUCGGGAAUCUCGGAGUGCAGGAUGAUGAAGAUGUCAAGUGGAUGUUGCAGGGUUCCAGUAUGGUAAAGGUCCGAUCAGGACGCUGGCAAAAGCCGCGAACGCUGAAGCUCCUGGACGAUGGUGUUACAAUCUGGUGUGAGUCCUUCAAAAUAUUCCGUCGAGCCAGGGAGCAACAAUCUUUUUCUAUCUCUGAGGUGGAGUGUGUACGAGAGGGCUGUCAUUCAGAGACAUUACAACGGAUGCUCCGUGCAAUACCUGAAAACCGAUGUUUGACGGUGGUCUUCAAAGGCCCGCGAAGGAACUUGGAUCUUCUCUGCCAGAACCAGAAGGAGGCUCUUCACUGGGCCCAAGGCAUUCGAACACUAAAGGAAAGGAGUGAGAACAUGAGCCAGAAGGAGAAACUUGAUCACUGGAUUCUUGGUUACCUGAGUCAGGCUGAUGUGAAUCAUGAUGAUAAAAUGAGCUAUGAUGAAGUGCAGUCAUUGCUACAGAUGAUCAACAUUGACUUGAGUGAACAGUAUGCUCGUGAACUCUUCGAGAAAUGUGAUCGUUCAGCUGACAAUCGACUUGACCAUGGAGAAAUAGAGAUUUUUUGCAAAGAGUUGUUGCGGAGGCCUGAGCUGGAUGCUGUGUUUCGGCGCUAUUCUGCCAAUAGAUGUGUCCUUUCAACCGCAGACCUGAGAGAUUUUCUAAAAGAUCAAGGGGAAGAUGCUUCAAAGACACAUGCCCAAAGCCUGAUCCACACAUAUGAACUCAAUGAAUGGGCUCAGAAGAACCAGUUUAUGACACCUAAUGGGUUCACCAUGUAUAUGCUGUCCAAAGAAAAUUCAGUAUUUGAGGCGGAACAUGCUUGGGUUUAUCAAAAUAUGAAUCAGCCCCUAUCACAUUACUUCAUCUCCUCCUCUCACAACACCUACUUGUCUGGAGACCAGCUGACUGGAGAGAGUGACGUCGAGCCAUAUAUCCGAGCCCUGAACAACGGUUGUCGCUGUGUGGAGUUGGACUGUUGGGAUGGAGAUAAAGGACAGCCAAUUAUCUACCAUGGAUACACACUCACCUCAAAAGUGUCUUUUGCUGAAGUCAUUAAGACGAUCAAUGAGUAUGCUUUUAAGGCAUCACCAUACCCUCUGAUCCUCUCCCUGGAGAACCACUGCUCUGUGGAGCAGCAAACAGUGAUGGCUCAGCACAUGCGAGCCAUUCUGGGGGACAAAUUGCUCACCAAGCCCAUUAGUGACCUUGACUACAACACGCUGCCUUCACCAGAGAAUCUCAAAGGUAAAAUCCUGGUGAAGGGGAAGAAAGAAAAGACUGUAGGGGAAUGCUCCUCCAGUUCAUCAGAGGACAGUUCCUCGGAUGAGACCAGCGAAGCUGAAAGCAACAUUAGGAAAAAGAAAGAUGGCAAGAAGUCAGAGACAACUAAUGUGUGUCGAGACCUGUCAGACUUGGUGGUGUACACCCAAAGUGUACACUUUAAAAACUUUCAACACGCUGCCUCAACCCCAGCGAGCCACAUGUCCUCAUUCUCCGAAAAUCAAGCCCUAAAGCAUGUCAGCAACUCAGGGAUGAAUUUUGUGCGUCACAAUAUCCGCCAUCUUACCAGAACAUACCCUUCAGGACAAAGGUUACAAUCUUCCAACUACAACCCUCAGUCUAUGUGGAAUGGAGGCUGUCAGUUUGUGGCUCUGAAUUUUCAAACGUCAGGGGAACCUAUGGAUCUGAACCAAGGAAAGUUCCUGCAGAAUGGCAAGUGUGGUUACAUUCUGAAACCCCCUUACAUGUGCCGGAUGAACACCACCUUUAACCCAGGGAAUGUUGGUGGAGGUCCUGGCCAUGCACCAGUCCUGCUCACUAUUAAGGGGCCUGGAUAGCGACCUCAGGAGCAUCCACACUAGAGAGAGUGUGGGGAUCCAUAUGCUCACUGCCAGGAGAUGUCCCAGAUAUUGAGAACUCAAAUUCAUCAGGAGCAUCUGGAGCAAUGUCCUCAUAGGUCACAGUAUGAGCUGUUGCAUCUAGCAGCUGAUCAACAUGACACCUCCAGAUAACAUCAUGCCCGAUCUUCAUGGUGUAUGUCAGUGGUCCUGUUUUGGACAGAAUAACACCACACUGCCACUUCUGCUUUGGAUAGCAGUAAUCCCUUGCAAGAACCUGCUGUCCAACAACAAAGUUUCUCAGACGUUGUGUUGCUGCUUUCAUUUGCCAUUUUUGUGCUACAUCCAAGUGUAGAUCAGGCUUCUAAACGUGACCUCAGUCGUCUUCCCAUGAACAGCACAGAAGGAGCUUGGCCUGUAGUACCAUGAUCAGUGUUUCUGUAGGCAUGUAGUCCUGUUAUAGCAAAGAGUGUUCGUAAGACUUCCACGGUUUUCAUGAAUGUGGCAUUAUUCACCAUGAAGACUUCUGGCCACUUUAAGUAUACAUCCACGGCGACAAGAAACAUCCUAUCUAGAAAUGGUCCCGCAUAAUCUAUGAGGAUUCUUUGCCUUGGAACAGUUGGCCACUCACCGCAUUCAGCAAGUCGUGUCAGAACUGCUUCCAAGUUGGCGAGAUGAGUCGUCAUCACGGCCUGUCAAGAUAAUAUCAUCCAGAUAGCACUGGGUGCCUGGAACGCCUUGAAGCAUCUGAUCAAUCACGCGCUGCCACACUGCAGGGGCAGACGCAAUGCCAAAGACAAGCCUAUUAUACCGAAAAAGGCCUUAGUGUGUGCUGAUUGUCAAAAAUGCCUUUAAUGUGUCAUCCAUUUCCAUUUGUAAGUAAGCCUGGGCCAAGUCAAUCUUUCGAAAAAUGUUGUCUACCCGCUAAAAAAGCAAAAAUAUCUUGUAUUUGUGGAAAUGGGUAUUGGUCAGCAUGCAAGACAGGGUUGACAGUCACUUUGAAGUCACCACAUAGUCGUAUCGCACCUGAUUUCUUGAUGACUGGUCGGGGUUGCCCAGUCUGACCAUUCGACCUCAGACAGAAUUCCUUGGUCUUCCAAGCACUUAACCGCUGUCUCCACGUUGGGACGCAAUGCAUAGGGGACGGUACAAGCUUUUAAGAAUUUUGGAGCGGCUUGGUCCUAUAUAGUAAGAUGUGCCUUGAUGUGGUUUAAUGUACCAAUGCCUCUUGAAACACUGGCACUGCAUUCUGCAGCAAUCUAUUUAAUUUUACCUGAGUGGCGACACUGGUUUCAUUUAGGCCACGCUGCAUGGACUUAUUGAAUCGCCAGUUCAGCUGUAUCAUUUGCAACCAUUCACGCCCAAAUAAUGGUCCGACACCUCGAGGACAAACAUACAAGUCAAGUAAUUUCCUUUUUCCUUCAUAUUUCACCUUUACUUAGAUUUUUCCCACUGGGGUCACUUCCUCUCCAGUGUAGGUUUUGAGAAGCACUGUUGUCUGUUUCAGUUGUAAAUUUGCAAACUUUUAUUUAUAUUAUUUCUCUGAUAUUAGUGACAAAGCCAAAUCUGUGUCCAGUUCCAUCUUUAAUUUGGUUCCCUCAAUCUCUGGGGUCACCCACUUCAUUUUCUUAUCACAGUUUGUCAUUGAAUGAAGCUCAAUAUGUGCCACAGUUGUAUCUGUGUCACUCGAAUUUGACCCACAAGUGUCUACCUCAUUUAUUUCCUUGACUUUUCUGUCAUUUUUCAUAUCUUAAUGUUUUCCCUCAUUUCGCCUCAUUUUACGCCGUCUCUGGGUGUGCCCUCUUUUGUUGCACACGUUACAGUUCUUGUCACAGAACCAACAGUCUGCUUGGUCUUGUGAAUUUGUUCCACAUAUGAAACAAGCAGGUGCCUUUGCAGGAUGUGUAGACAGAAAUUAAUUCACCAUUUUCUUUUGCAAUUCAGUGGCAUCUCUUGAUACAGUUUAAAUUACCACAGAAAUUUCCAUCACCCUUGCUAAUGUCAAGUCUUUUUCUAUAAGGAGCUGUCUUUUUUAAAUCUUUUUUUGUCCUGUCCAGCUACUCAGGCAAAUCAUAUUGUUGAUGUAGAUGCCCAUAUUUGCUGUACAGAUUUACUUUACAAAAGAGAAGUGUGGGAUACAUCUCUUUUUGCCUUAUUUGUAUUUGACUUUAUUAAACGUUGUGUCAUCCUUUUCAAUUUAUUAUCAAUUGAAUGAACUGCAAAGACAAGAUAUUUAAUGUUCGAACUGAGAAACGUCAUUUGUUUUUGCAAAUAAUCAUUAACUUAGAAUUUAAUGGCAGCAACACAUUGCAAAAAAGUUUUUACCACUGUGUUACAUGGCCUUUCCUUUUAACAACACUCAGUAAACAUUUGGGAACUGAGAAGACCAAUUUUUGAAGCUUUUCAGGUGGAUUUAUUUCCCAUUCUUGCUUGAUGUACAGCUUAAGUUGUUCAACAGUCCGGGUUCUCCGUUGUGGUAUUUUAGGCUUCAUAAUGCGCCACACAUUUUCAAUGGGAGACAAGUCUGGACUACAGGCAGGCCAGUGUAGUACCCGCACUCUUUUACUAUGAAGCCACGCUGUUGUAACAUGUGGAUUGGCAUUGUCUUGCUGAAAUAAGCAGGAGCGUCCAUGGUAACGUUGCUUGGAUGGCAACAUAUGUUGCUUCAAAACCUGUAUGUACCUUUCAGCAUUAAUGGUGCCUUCACAGAUGUGUAAGUUACCCAUGUCUUGGGCACCAAUACACCCCCAUACCAUCACAGAUGCUGGCUUUUCAACUUUGCGCCUAUAACAAUCCGGAUGGUUCUUUUCCUUUUUAGUCCGGAGGACACGACGUCCACAUUUUCCAAAAACUAUUUGAAAUGUGGACUCGUCAGACCCCAGAACACUUUUCCACUUUGCAUCAGUCCAUCUUAGAUGAGCUUGGACCCAGCGAAGCCGGCAGCGUUUCUGGGUGCUGUUGAUAGAUGGCUUUCGCUUUGCAUAGUAGAAUUUUAACUUGCACUUACAGAUGUAGCGACCAACUGUAGUUACUGACAGUGGUUUUCUGAAGUGUUCCUGAGCCCAUGUGGUGAUAUCCUUUACACAGUGAUGUUGCUUUUUGAUGCAGUACCGCCUGAGGGAUCGAAGGUCCGUAAUAUCAUCGCUUACGUGCAGUGAUUUCUCCAGAUUCUUUGAACCUUUUGAUGAUAUUACGGACUGUAGAUGGUGAAAUCCCUAAAUUCCUUGCAAUAGGUCGUUGAGAAAUGUUCUUAAACUGUUCGACAAUUUGCUCACGCAUUUGUUCACAAAGUGGAGACCUCGCCCCAUCCUUGUUUGUAAAUGACUGAGCAUUUCAUGGAAACUGCUUUUAUACCCAAUAAUGGCACCCACCUGUUCCCAAUUAGCCUGUUCACCUGUGGGAUGUUCCAAAUAAGUGUUUGAUGAGCAUUCCUCAACUUUCUCAGUCUUUUUUGCCACUUGUGCCAGCUUUUUUGAACGUGUUGCAGGCAUCAAAUUCCAAAUUAGCUAAUAUUUGCAAAAAAGAACAAAGUUUUCCGGUUCGAAUGUUAAGUAUCUUGUCUUUGGAGUCUAUUCAAUUGACUAUAGGUUGAAAAGGAUUUGCAAAUAAUUGUAUUCUGUUUUUAUUUACGAUUUACACAACGUGCUAACUUCACUGGGUUUGGGGUUUGUAUAUUAUUGUUUGGCGCAGCCGAACCGUAGCCGUCUUUGUAUGCUUUCACUAUGCAUUCCACAUAAGAGUCGGUCUCGUAGCGUGUCAAAUAAGCCGACGCUGAAUUGGCAGUGUUCUGUCAAUCUCCUGAUCUCUGCAAUGUAGUUGGAGAUGGAUUCAGUCUUUUGCUGAUUCCAGGUAUGAAAUCAGAAUUGCUCUGCUAUGACGAGAGGUGUCGGAUUAAAAUGAUCCUGCAACAAUUUUGUGAUAUCCUUGAACGAUUUCUGUGAUUUGCCAAGCAAUAUUACUCCACUCUCUCGAUAUACGUGUCCCACAUUUCCACAUUACUGUCAGAAGCUUCCACAUUUCCAAUAGCACCAGCCAUUGUUCCCUUCUGCUUACAGUCCACUUAUUUCCGACUUCCUGCCUCUUUACUUUAGGUUACGGUACUCAGAGUCUUGCCAACAUAUCACUUUUGUCGAGCAUGCUAGCAAUCCACCAUGGACAGGGAAACUUCCAUUCAAGAUUCUACACACGAUGUGUGGUCCUUAUAUCCUUCGUCGCCAAUUCUGUUGUGUUUCAGCACUUUCACAACCAAACAUCUAUAAGCACACCAUGUAAAGUUGCUAUGUCUUUUACCGGAAUGCAAAACUGUGGAGGCAUAUCACAUGGCAAGUUAAUCACCUAGCCCUGCUCUACUGUAUCAAUGCUCUGUUCACUGUAUCCUGCGCCUAACAUAAAGUAGUCCGUGAGACUCAUUCAAAUGAAAGUAGAUCAUAUUUCCUAAUGACACAACAAUAUUGGCUUAUUCUUACUUGCUCUGAUGUAAAAAAAAAAAAAAAAAACUAAACCCAUGACACUGGGACUGCAGAAGAAGGGUGGCAAAAGCAAAAGGGUCUGAAUACUUAUGGCUGUGUAAUAUAUGUUUUGUUCUUUGGGGAAUUUGUUAAAUGUCUACAAUUCUGUUUUUUUCUGUCAAUAAGGGGAGUUUAAAGUGAUAAGGUAAUAAACGAAAAAGUGUCAGGCUUGUCACUGAAAGGUUGGUUACGUUUGUGUUUUCCUCUGUGUUUGUGUUUAUUUCCU